rnacentral:rRNA from 1 species
UACGAAGGUGGCAAGCGUUACUCGGAAUUACUAGGCGUAAAGGGCAGGUAGGUGGUCUGAUAAGUCUGUUGUGAAAGCUCCCGGCCCAACUGGGAGAGGUCAACAGAAACUAUCAGGCUUGAGUAUGGGAGAGGGUACUGGAAUUCCUGGUGUAGCGGUGAAAUGCGCAGAGAUCAGGAGGAACACCGAUGGCGAAAGCAGGUACCUGGACCAUUACUGACACUCAGCUGCGAAAGCUAGGGGAGCAAACAGG